AGUGAACGCUGGCGGUAGGCCUAACACAUGCAAGUCGAACGGCAGCACAGUAAGAGCUUGCUCUUACGGGUGGCGAGUGGCGGACGGGUGAGGAAUACAUCGGAAUCUACUUUUUCGUGGGGGAUAACGUAGGGACACUUACGCUAAUACCGCAUACGACCUACGGGUGAAAGCAGGGGAUCUUCGGACCUUGCGCGAUUGAAUGAGCCGAUGUCGGAUUAGCUAGUUGGCGGGGUAAAGGCACACCAAGGCGACGAUCCGUAGCUGGUCUGAGAGGAUGAUCAGCCACACUGGAACUGAGACACGGUCCAGACUCCUACGGGAGGCAGCAGUGGGGAAUAUUGGGCAAUGGGCGCAAGCCUGAUCCAGCCAUACCGCGUGGGUGAAGAAGGCCUUCGGGUUGUAAAGCCCUUUUGUUGGGAAAGAAAAGCAGCAGGUUAAUACCCCGCUGUUCUGACGGUACCCAAAGAAUAAGCACCGGCUAACUUCGUG
rnacentral:rRNA from 1 species